GACAAGGUUAAUCCGAGUGAUUUCUGCUAAAGGAAUCUUUUGUUAGUUCUAAAAAUACUAGUGAAUAAGGGGUGGGCAAGUUCUGGUGUCAGCCGCCGCGGUAAAACCAGCACCUCAAGUGGUCAGGAGGAUUAUUGGGCCUAAAGCAUCCGUAGCCUGUUCUAUAAGUUUGCGGUUAAAUCUAUACGCUCAACGUAUAGGCUGCCGUAAAUACUGUAGAACUAGGGAGUGGGAGAGGUAGACGGUACUCGAUAGGAAGGGGUAAAAUCCUUUGAUCUAUUGAUGACCACCUGUGGCGAAGGCGGUCUACCAGAACACGUUCGACGGUGAGGGAUGAAAGCUGGGGGAGCAAACCGGAUUAGAUACCCGGGUAGUCCCAGCUGUAAACGAUGCAGACUCGAUGAUGCAAUGGCAUAGAGCUAUUGCAGUAUCGCAGGGAAGCCGUUAAGUCUGCCGCCUGGGAAGUACGUACGCAAGUAUGAAACUUAAAGGAAUUGGCGGGGGAGCACCACAAGGGGUGAAGCCUGCGGUUCAAUUGGAGUCAACGCCAGAAAUCUUACCCGGAGAGACAGCAGAAUGAAGGUCAGGCUGAAGACCUAC
rnacentral:rRNA from 1 species